rnacentral:rRNA from 1 species
AUUGAACGCUGGCGGCAUGCUUUACACAUGCAAGUCGAACGGUAACAGGCCGCAAGGUGCUGACGAGUGGCGAACGGGUGAGUAAUGCAUCGGAACGUGCCCAGUCGUGGGGGAUAACGCCGCGAAAGCUGCGCUAAUACCGCAUACGAUCUAUGGCUGCACGCGGGGGACCGUAAGGCCUCGCGCGAUUGGAGCGGCCGAUGUCAGAUUAGGUAGUUGGUGGGGUAAAGGCUCACCAAGCCAACGAUCUGUAGUUGGUCUGAGAGGAGGACCAGCCACACUGGGACUGAGACACGGCCCAGACUCCUACGGGAGGCAGCAGUGGGGAAUUUUGGACAAUGGGCGCAAGCCUGAUCCAGCAAUGCCGCGUGCAGGAAGAAGGCCUUCGGGUUGUAAACUGCUUUUGUACGGAACGAAACGGUCCUGGUUAAUACCCGGGGCUAAUGACGGUACCGUAAGAAUAAGCACCGGCUAACUACGUGCCAGCAGCCGCCGUAAGAC